GUCUUCUGAACAGUGUCCAGGAGAAGGGAGGCUACGUACCCGUCUACAUCAACUUCUCAGCCCAGACCACCUCAGCCAGAACACAGGAGAUGAUCGAGUCCAAACUGGAGAAGAAGAGGAAGAACAUUCUGGGUGCUCCUGGUAACAGAAAGAUAGUGAUCUUUGUGGAUGAUCUGAACAUGCCUAAGUUGGACACCUACGGCUCACAGCCCCCCAUCGAACUGCUCAGACAGUUCCAGGACUUCCACGGCUUCUACGACCGAGAGAAGUUCUUCUGGAAGGAGAUCCAGGACAUGACGAUCGCGGCGGCCUGCG